GUGGAUUAGAUACCCUGGUAGUCCACGCCGUAAACGAUGUCAACUAGCUGUUGGUCAUAUUAAUGUGAUUAGUAGCGCAGCAAACGCGAUAAGUUGACCGCCUGGGGAGUACGGUCGCAAGAUUAAAACUCAAAGGAAUUGACGGGGGCCCGCACAAGCGGUGGAGCAUGUGGUUUAAUUCGAUGCAACGCGAAGAACCUUACCUACCCUUGACAUACAGCGAAGAUUUCAGAGAUGAGAUUGUGCCUUCGGGAACGCUGAUACAGGUGCUGCACGGCCGUCGCCAACU
rnacentral:rRNA from 1 species